GUGGAGUCUGGGGAGUCCUGAGCCAGACUUGGAAGAAGCAACAUGGGAAGUUCCUAGAUGAGGGGUCAAAUGCCUGGUUGUCUCUUGGUGUGUGCAGCUGAGCAUCUCAGCAGUACCAAUCUGGCUCCAACGGCGUGGAGGAUUCCUGGAGAGCAGAUGAUGUUCACUCCACAUUGAAGACUGAAGAGGUCUGGCUGAGUAUCAGCCAGCCAAGGAACCAGUGGCGGCCGCUGCAGAGUAGAUGAGCUCGCCAGCAAGAGUAAAGACUGAGUGAGCAAAGAAGCCAAAUCCUUCCUCCUCCAAGUUCCCUUAUCUGACUGUUACCUAAAAACACUGCCAACGCUUAGGCUGGGUCUUCCCACAUCAGCAAGAUGUACCAAGACAGACCUCCACGGACAGGGCCACAGACCAACUUAAUCUAGAGGGUUCCUUGCUGAGACUCUUCCCAGGUCGUUCUAAGUUGUGUCAAAGUGACAAAGCAGCCACCACAGCCUUCUUCCACCGAACGCUUGCGCAAAAGCUUACCUGCGGACAGGCGGUGAUGUAAGUUAGAUGACAUCCGUUCCUCCCAGGAAGCCCCGCCUUGCUUCCCAGCCCCCCUCAUAUACCAGAGCGUGGAUGGGAAACCCAUGUACCUGCGCCUUGUCUAGGUCUCAGCCUUCGUCCUCGGCACUCACGUGAAGCAGGACGGUGAUGGGAGCAGCAGGGGCGCCAAGGAAGACAGGUGAGACAAGGUGAUCCCCGAAGUGUGUCAGCUGGCAGGGAGGACCAACUGCCGGGUUGUGGGGUCAGAGCAGAGCAAGGGAACCUCCUCUCCUGAACUCUGGAGCCUCGGUUCCCCAGGUCUCAUCAGCUGGCUCUGGGCAUCCUAAGUCUGACCUGCGCUCUUGUCUUAAACAAAGUGCUCAGGAUACAGUGAAAUAGAGCGAAAUAGAGCAUCCUGCCAACUGAAGCAACUGAACCAAGGAGUUGUGACGGUUGCCUUCCAUCCUUCUCCCCAACCCAUGGGAUCUAAAUUCAAGCUGGGAGCAAUUUACUAAUUCAUUUGUAUUUCAGUUGGGAUGCCCUGUUUGGACACGGGGUGAGCCUCUCCACACGCCCAACCUGACCCUCUUUCAUGCCACAGUGAAGUAUCCAGAUUCUUUUGGUUGUUUUUUUUUUUGUUUGUUUGUUUGUUUGCUUGGUUGUUUUCAUAUCCCAACCACAGUGUCCCCCUCCCUCCUCUCGUCCCAGUCCCCCCCCCACACACACACUCUCUAUGUCUACCAUCCUCCCUCUAUUUCUCUUCAGAUAUGGGUGGGGCUCCUGGAUGUCAGUCAGCCGUGGUAUAUGAAGCUGCAAUGAGGCUAGACACCUCCUCUUCUAUAAAGGUUGUAUGAAACAAUCCCAUAGGAGGGAUGGGUCCCAAAAGCAGGCAACAGAGUCAGAGACAGUCCCCAUUCCCACUAUUAGGAGUCCCACAAGAAGACCAAGCUACGCAACUGAAGCAUAAGUGUAGAGGGAUUAAGUCAGUUCCAUGCAGGCUCCCUGGUUGUUGGCUCAGUCUCUGUGAGCCCCUAUGAGCACAGGUUAACUGGUUCUUUGGGUUUUUUUGUGGUGUCCUUGACCUCACUGGCUCCUACAAUCCUUCCUCCCCGUCUUCUGCAGGAUUCCCCGAGCUCCGCCUAAUGUUGGUACCAAUAUUCUUAAUCAUGAUGUUUUAGGCACCGUCAUUUCCACU